GACGAACGCUGGCGGCGUGCCUAAUACAUGCAAGUCGAGCGAAGCGGCGGAUGGGUGAGUAACGCGUGGGUAACCUGACCUUAAGUGUGGGAUCACAUUUGGAAACAGAUGCUAAUAACGGAAACUAAAGGAUGGACAUGCGAUGCAUUAGCUAGUUGGUAAGGUAACGGCUUACCAAGGCGAUGAUGCAUAGCCGAGUUGAGAGGCGGAUCGGCCACAUUGGGACUGAGACACGGCCCAAACUCCUACGGGAGGCAGCAGUAGGGAAUCUUCCACAAUGGACGAAAGUCUGAUCGAGCAACGCCGCGUGAGUGAAGAAGGUUUUCGGAUCGUAAAGCUCUGUUGUUGGUGAAGCGGUAUUCAACCAGAAAGCCACGGCUAACUACGUGCCAGCAGCCGCGGUAAUAC
rnacentral:rRNA from 1 species